GACGAACGCUGGCGGCGUGCUUAACACAUGCAAGUCGAACGGAAAGGCCCUGCUUUUGUGGGGUGCUCGAGUGGCGAACGGGUGAGUAACACGUGAGUAACCUGCCCUUGACUUUGGGAUAACUUCAGGAAACUGGGGCUAAUACCGGAUAGGAGCUCCUGCUGCAUGGUGGGGGUUGGAAAGUUUCGGCGGUUGGGGAUGGACUCGCGGCUUAUCAGCUUGUUGGUGGGGUAGUGGCUUACCAAGGCUUUGAAGGGUAGCCGGCCUGAGAGGGUGACCGGCCACAUUGGGACUGAAAUGCGGCCCAGACUCCUACGGGAGGCAGCAGUGGGGAAUAUUGCACAAUGGGCGGAAGCCUGAUGCAGCAACGCCGCGUGCGGGAUGACGGCCUGCGGUUUGUAAACCGCUUUCGCCUGUGACGAAGCGUGAGUGACGGUAAUGGGUAAAGAAGCACCGGCUAACUACGUG
rnacentral:rRNA from 1 species